rnacentral:lncRNA from 1 species
AUGGAACCAUUCCUAGACAAGGGCAGAAAUGUUACCACGGACAAUUUCUUCACAUCGCUUUCACUUGCGCAAAAACUUUUUAGACGGAAAACCACCAUCCUCGGCACAGUCAACAAGAUUCGCCGGGAAAUUCCUCAAUCCGCUAGAUACACAGAUCGCAAUGAAUUCACCACUCAGGUGUUUUCAACCUCUGCUGCCACGCUAACGGCGUAUGCGGCCAAACGGAAGAAGACAGUCUAUAUUCUUAGCAGCAUGCACAGCGUGGUUCAGACUGAUAACACCACCAAAAGGAAGCCAAACACUGUCACCCUUUACAACACCACAAAGUGUGGCGUGGAUGUGAUGGACCAGAUGGUGCGGGAGUACACGGUCCGCAGAGGAACACGGCGCUGGCCAGUUGCCGUGUUCUAUAACAUGAUUGACAUGGCAGCACUGAAUGCACAUGUGCUGUAUCAAGCAUGCACCGGGACGCAGGAAAGAUGGGUGGACUUCCUGGUGGAGCUUGCAAGAGAGUUGGCUAACUCUCAUAUGGCUGGGAAGAAGGCAAGAAAAGAACAGUUGCUUCAGACACAACCCUCCACAUCUAGCCCUGGAAAAAGAGCCACGUGUCAGGUCAAACACAAAUGCAACAACAAUCAUGCAACUGUGCGAUGUGUUCACUGCUACAGAUACACAUGUGGUAAAUGCAGACUACAGAUACCAUGGCAGUGCCAGGAUUGUGAGUGAUUGCUGAAAAUGUUGAAAUGUACUCACUCACUUUUUAUUGUUAUUUGUAAAUAUGUGUACAAAUGGUUGGUUUUUUUUUUUGUACUAUUUUAUCAAUAAAUCUCAGCAACAAAGGAAAUACACUCGUGUGUUGAUUUCUCCCUAAGGCAAACUAAAACACACGUUUCCUUGUGGCUCAGGAAACUAACCACUCCAAGUGGUUCAGCAUGGCCCCACCUUAUUUACAUAACAAAAGCAGCUGUUCACAGGUGAUUAAGGAUAUUAGCUAAAAGCCUACCAGGUAUUUGGCUCGACGGCGGGUUUUAUAGGUAGAAAAGCCAAAUGGCUGCUCUCUGGGACUUCUAGUGUUAAAAAAAUAAAAUGAUAUAAAAUAAUAAUAAUCACUCUCUUUAAACACUUUUACUAACACCUGAGUUUACAGUAAAGUAUUACACAACAUUUGAGACUACAUUAAACGUCAG